GCGUGACUACAAAUCACAGUCAGUGUUUCACAUUCAGCUUUAAGUGGUCGAUUAUGGUCUAUUUAUAACGGCACGCUGAUUCAAAUGCAUCCUGUGCAAGUAUUCAAUGUAACGUCAUGUUUAUGAAAGCUGGCCUGGCUGCAGACAUGUGAGCCCCUACGACUGUGGACAGUGGCUGCAUCGUUGUUGUGAAGACGGAAGUGACAAGAGGACUUCCCUCUGGACAUUUCUUCAGUCUUUUCUGGGGACAGCAAAAGGAUUACACCGCCGCCUGACGACACACCAUCCGUCAUGUCAUCCGCGUACAAAAACAGAAUCCUGGAAUUCAAAGAAACCUUGAGUGAAGAAAACAUUAACCUGAAGACCCUGAGGGAGCUGUGCUUCAAUGGAAUCCCAUUUGAAGGGGGCAUCCGGGCACUUUGCUGGAAAAUCCUUCUCAAUUAUCUGCCUUCUGAUCAGACAUUAUGGGAGUCUUUUCUCAAAAAGCAGAGGUAAGAAGAGCACGCUGAUCAAAUAAAGUAUCAAUCAGCACAGCUGGUGACAGAAGCUAAUG